GUUUUUAAGAGAUGAAGUCUUGCUCUGUCAUCCAGGCUGGAGUACAGUGACACAAUCACAGCUGACUGCAGCCUCCAACCGCUGGGCUCAAGGGGUACUCCCACCUCAGCCUCCAGAACAGCUGGGACUACAGGCACACACCACCACACCCAGUGUUUCAAUCAAGAAAACAUGCAAGACUGAAUGCCUUCAGUUUAAUCAGUUUUUAAUCUAGCAGGCAGUUUGAUUGCUGAGCAUUUCUUGGAAAUUGUGAACAAGUAGUAUGUUAAGAAGAGAUGAAGAGAAAAGACAGGGAAAUAAGCAGCAGAAAUGGGGGAACAAGAGGAUCAAAACACGGUAGGAGACAAAAUAGCACAGGCAAAAUAUUAUGAUUUGGCAAUGAAUACAAAUUAGUAUGAUCUGACUUAAUAUAAGGGUAAAUAAAAAUUGCCAUAAAGCUUUAAAUAUAGAAUAAAUAUUCCUCAUCAUUUACCUUCCUCUCUGAAACUUCACUGUCAUUUGACUUAAUCUUCCGUGGAACUGUGACAUGCAGAAAUAUUCCUUCAGAACCUGCAGUAAGAAAAUGUGUUUGUUUUUGUCUUUGUUUUGCAUCAACAAUCGUCUCAGUCAAGCACGGGUUCUUAUCCCGGACUGCAUGGUGGCGCCUAAAAUUUUAAGUAGAAGUUCUCUCAUGUGCUCACACUCUUUCUAGUCCACAAAUUUCACUACAUAAUCAACAGCACAUUGAAAAUGGCUAAGACACAAAAAAAGAAAAAAAAAUUAGACAUUGCAGUUCUACAGGCCCCUCUGGUUCCCUUUUAGAAUCGAUGAGAGACUUGCUUCCUCAGGACUCUGAGGAGUUCGCUGAAGGCAGUUAGUACUCCACCACCUCCACCCUCCUUCACAGAGUGGGAAGAUGCCAGAAGACGCACUGCGUGUGGGCCACUGAGACCAUGGGCGCUGAUGCAGAGCGCUAACAGGUCCUCCGCUAAGGCCUUUAGUUCCCCCUGGCCUGGCGUGGAAAGGUGUCCCUGACACACCAGAAGCACCAGCAUGGGAUCCCAGAAGGGAGAGGGGGAGGGUCCCAGAAUGACAAGAAACUGCUCCCAGUAAGAGCCCAGCCCAGCUAUAAAGUCGAAGAAGAAAGGGGAGGCUCCCAUGGACUUACCUU
rnacentral:lncRNA from 10 species